GGAAUAACCAUCGGAUGCAAACGAGAUUGUCAGUGCAUUACUGAUAAUUUCAUGAGCAACAUCAAUAUCGGACGCGGUCAUUGUAUAAACAAAAAGGGUUUCCACUUUGGCAGUGGAGGAGCAUGCGGUGAAAAGUGUUACGUAAACAGUGAUGGAAGUGAUUCCGGAUGCCCCGAGAGAUGCAAAUGCGUAACAGAUAAUUUCAGGAGCACCAUGAGAAGCGGGCCCGGUACCUGCAAGCACGUGUAUGGCUGAGCCACUUCGUAAGAUUUGUAAACUAUAACAAUGGAAAUAGGGGAAACAAUAAAUUAAUGUAAUAAAAGAGAAUAAAUUAUUUCUAUUGCAAAA
rnacentral:lncRNA from 1 species